AGCGUCCAUAGGAAAGCAUUGUAAAUGCUUUCCUAUGCGUCCGGCUGAAUGCCCGCGCAGCUCUUGCCGUGCGUGCGCAUUCAGCCGACGGGGAGGAGAGAAGGAGGAUCGGAGGAGGAGAGCUCCCUGCCCAGCGCUGGAAAAAGGUAAGUUUCAACCCCUCUCCCCUUUCCAGAGCCGGGCGGGAGGGGGUCCCUGAGGGUAUGUUUUCCUGGCACUAUAGUGGUCCUUUAAUGAAACAGACGUAUUGCAGGUAUAUGAUUAAGGUGUUAUAAUAUACUUCUGUAAAGUGAGAAUAGAAUAUAAAUAAGAUAUAAGUGAGAUAUAAA